rnacentral:lncRNA from 1 species
GUGACGCCCGGAUAAUUAAGCUACAGUGAUCCCCGCUAAUGAUGCCACAUCACCCCGGUUACUGUGGAUAAACUCGCGUUAGUUCGAAACCUAGUUCGAAUUUCAAAUUUAAAACCGAGGCAAACUAUAAAAGUUUUCAAACAUUAAAAUUAAAAUGUUUGGAGUGUGCCAAUUAAUGCUUAGGUAUUUAUGGUGAAGAAACCACGCUUUUACUGAAUGCCUAAAUACUUUAAAAUAAAUUAAAACAGAAAAGAAAUGAGAUGAAAAAAAAGAAAAGGAAAAACAAAAACACAAAACUAACAAAAAAGAAAAGGAGCCCCCCUCCCACUGGGCCAACCAGCCAAGCUGGUCACCAGGCCGACUAGGCCGGCCCACCCCAUCCCACCUUAUCCCCCACUACCCCGAAACCCUAACCCCCAGUGCACCCACUCCCCAAUGCAUUGAUCCCCACUCUCCCCUNNNNNNNNNNNNNNNNNNNNNNNNNNNNNNNNNNNNNNNNNNNNNNNNNNNNNNNNNNNNNNNNNNNNNNNNNNNNNNNNNNNNNNNNNNNNNNNNNNNNNNNNNNNNNNNNNNNNNNNNNNNNNNNNNNNNNNNNNNNNNNNNNNNNNNNNNNNNNNNNNNNNNNNNNNNNNNNNNNNNNNNNNNNNNNNNNNNNNNNNNNNNNNNNNNNNNNNNNNNNNNNNNNNNNNNNNNNNNNNNNNNNNNNNNNNNNNNNNNNNNNNNNNNNNNNNNNNNUGCCAGACCGCGCCGCCCCUGGCGCCCGUCGCCACCACCACUCUGCCAUCGCCAAGCCGCCUCCUUGCCGGAGAGGGGACGGAUCCCGGGGGCCCUGUCGCGGAUUCGGCCUCCCUCGCCACCCGUCCACGACCACGCUGACGCGGGACCCUGCCCGGAGCCACCUCGCCCCUGUCGCACGAGGACCGCGUCGCCAGACUGCCUCCUCGACGCCGUCGUCUCCGUCCUCCUCCUCAACCCCCACUGCCUAGAUCCUACGACUCCGGUGAGGCCACGGCCUCUGCGCCCCCUCCUCUCUCUCCCUCGCCCCGUGCUCGUCUCCUCCCCUGCUCGCCACUCGGGGCCGCGCCAGCCCCACGCGCCCCGGCCACCUCCCGUUUGCCGCACCCAUCGCCGACUCCUCCGUGCUCGCCGCCGUUCACCUUGCCCCGCUCCUGCACCCCCCUGCACCGGUGACACCGCCUUGUCCGCGGCCAACUCCGGCGCUCUGACCGCCCCGCUCUCCUCCUCUCGCGCGCAGCCUUGCCGCGCUGAACGCCCGUCACCACCCUAAGUUCCCUUGGCCGGCGUCGUGGGCACCGGCGGCCAUGCCGGCGGCCUCGCCACGCCCGUGGCUGGCGCCCCCCCUGCCUGUCGAUCUGGGCGCUUGCCCAGUCGGGCGCCGACGCCCAGCGCCCGCACCCGCGGCAACGGCUGCGCCCGCAAACCCACUAGUCCCCCUGGGCCAAUGACAAGGGGGCCCCACCCCCCUGAACAUAUUUAUAAAAAUAAAAAUAAAAAUAAUUAAUUAAUUAAUUAGAGAAAUAAUUAACUUAAUUAACUUUGUUUAAUUAAACUAAACAACUAACUAAACUAAUUAAACAUUAGUUAUCUAAUUAACCUGGUUAGUUAAUUAGUAUGACAGUGGGGCCCACCCCUAAUUAAUUCUGAUUAGAUUAAAUUAAAUUUGGAUAAUUAACAUGUGUCUCUGACCAGUGGGACCCACUGGUCAGGUUGACCAAUCAACUCUGUUGACUGCUGACGUCAGCAUGACAUCAUGCUGAUGUCAUUAUUCCAUUUUCGAAUUAAUCUAAUUAACUAAUUAAAUUCCAGAAAUUAAUAAAAUCUUUAGAAAAUCAUAACUUUUAAUCCGUAACUCGGAUUAAAAUACUUUCUACAUGAAAGUUGCUCAGAACAACGAGACGAAUCCGGAUACGCAGCCUGUUCAUCCGCCAUGCGUCCCUAGCAUAGUGAACCUGCAACAUUUCACCUCCAGUUCAUCUAUCCGAAAACGUGAAACACCGAGGAUACUUUCCCGGAUGUUUCCCCCUUUCGCCGGUAUCAUCUACUACCGCGUUAGGGCACACCUAGCACCGCGCUUUGUCAUGUCAUGCAUCGUCAUGCAUUUGUUUGCAUUGUAAUUAUUGUUUCUUCCCCCUCUUCUCUCGCUAGAGACCGAGACCGACACCGCUGCUACCCAGUACGACUACGGUGUUGACGACCCCAUCUUCUUGCCAGAGCAACCCGGCAAGCCCCCCCCUUGAUCACCAGAUAUCGCCUAUUCUUCUCUAUACUGCUUGCAUUAGAGUAUUGUAGCAUGUUACUGUUCGGUUACUCCUAUUCUAUUGCAUAGCCUGUCAUUGUUGCUACAGUCAUUGAUACCCUACCCGCAAUCCUAAAUGCUUAGUAUAGGCUGCUAGUUUAUCAUCAUUGGCCCUACAUUCUUGUCAGUCUGCCUUGCUAUACUAUUGGGCCGUGAUCACUCGGGAGGUGAUCACGGGUAUAUACUAUACAUACAUACUAUACAGAUGGUGACUAAAGUCGGGUCAGCUUGUUGAGUACCCGCAAGUGAUUCCGAUGUGGGGGCUGAAAGGACAGGUGGCUCCAUCCCGGUAGAGGCGGGCCUGGGUUCCGGACGGCCCCCGACUGUUACUUUGUGGCGGAGCGACAGGGCAGGUUGAGACCGCCUAGGAGAGAGAUGGGCCUGUCCCUGUUCAGCGUUCGCGGAUACUUAACACGCUUAACGAGAUCUUGGUAUUUGAUCUGAGUCUGGCUACUGGCCUAUACGCACUAACCAACUACGCGGGAACAGUUAUGGGCGCUCGACGUCGUGGUAUCAGCCGAAGCCCUCUUGACGUCAGCGACGGAGCGGCGCGCACCGGAUUGGACCGCGUAACGUGACUUCCUUUGUAAUGGAGGUUGCUAGGUCUGCUUCCGACUGCCCCCGCAACGUGCAGGUGUGCAAUGGGCGAUGGGCCCAGACCCCUGCGCAUAGGAUUUAGACCGGCGGGCUGACCUCUCUGUUGUGCCUAGGUGGGGCUGCGACGUGUUGAUCUUCCAAGGCCGGGCAUGACCCAGGAAAGUGUGUCCGGCCAAAUGGGAUCGAGCGUGUUCGAUUAUGUGGUGCACCCCUGCAGGGAAGUUAAUCUAUUCGAAUAGUCGUGUCCCUCGGUAAAAGGACGACCCGAAGUUGUACCUUGACCUUAUGACAACUAGAACCGGAUACUUAAUAAAACACACCCAGACAAGUUCCAUAGAUAACCCGGUGAUCGCUUUUCCAUAGGGCGACGAGGGGAGGAUCGCCGGGUAAGAUUAUGCUAUGCGUUGCUACUUGGAGGACUUCAAUCUACUCUCUUCUACAUGCUGCAAGACGGAGGCUGCCAGAAGCGUAGUCUUCGACAUGAUUAGUUAUCCCCCUCUUAUUCUGGCAUUCUGCAGUUCAGCCCACUGAUAUGGCCUCCUUACACAUAUACCCAUGCAUAUGUAGUGUAGAUCCUUGCUUGCGAGUACUUUGGAUGAGUACUCACGGUUGCUUUCUCCCCCCUUUUCCCCCUUUCCUUUCUUUUUGGUUGUCGCAACCAGAUGCUGGAGUCUAGGAGCUAGACGCCACCGUCGACGACGACUCCUACUACGUUGGAGGUGCCUACUACUACGUGCAGCCCGCUGACGACGACCAGGAGUAGUUUAGGAGGAUCCCAGGCAGGAGGCAUGCGUCUCUUUCGAUCUGUAUCCCAGUUUGUGCAAGCCAUCUUAUGGCAACUUGUUUAACUUAUGUCUGUACUCAGAUAUUGUUGCUUCCGCUGACUCGUCUAUGAUCGAGCACUUGUAUUCGAGCCCUCGAGGCCCCUGGCUUUUAUUAUGAUGCUUGUAUGACUUAUUUAUGUUUGUAGAGUUGUGUUGUGGUAUCUUCCCGUGAGUCCCUGAUCUUGAUCAUACACGUUUGCGUGCAUGAUUAGUGUACGAUUGAAUCAGGGGCCUCACAAGUCGGUAUCAGAGCCGACUUCCUGUAGGAAUCCCCCUUCCGCACUCCUUGGCCGAAGUCGAGUCUAGUCACUACAAAACUUUUACUAACUUGGCUGUGUGCCUUACGGGCCCACGUCGCCAUUGGGUGGUAUUAGGAUAUUUUAUUCCUCGACCUAUACUCUGGGACUCUAAUCUCUCCUCUAUUCGGGUUAAAUGAUUUUACUAAAUCUGACUCUAGGUUCUCGUAACUACUUUCUCCCGGAGAGCCCCUAAUCACAGAUGAUCGCCUACUACGUCAGAAGAUUUCGAAGAUACUCUAGGAUGUUCUCCCGAGACGCUUGUGCCCACCGCCUUUGCAAAUUCCCUACCACUGUCAUAUCCUUAUGGAUAACUGCAUGCACCUGCCAUUCUUACAUUCGAUCCCAUUGAGCUUGUUAUUACAAGGUGCAACGAACUGCUCUUCGUUGUUCCGAGAAUCCUUUGAGCUUACUGCCUUACGGCUCUUUGCCACAAGAAUACCCAUAUGGAUAAUUCCUUGCACUUAUCGAGUAUCCGCUCCUUCUUAGUUUUUCAGGUGUUUCACAUAGGCCUUCAAAAUACUAUUCGAGCUUUCAAUAAUCCUCAACAGCCUGUUGUUCUUGAAGUUCUUGCUUGCUUGCAUUAUGGUUAAUCCCAGAAGCAUAAUAAUCUUAUUGGCAUCCUUUGUCACUAUCAUUUUUGAGUCCAUUGAUUCAAUAAGUUGUGAAUGUUCACAAUCAUCAUUCGAAUCCUAGGAUUAUCCUUCCGGCUCAGACGACAUUUGGAUAUCAGCUGGUUCUUGAACAAUCGAUGACUUGAUCGAUUGUGCUUCUAAGUCUAUUGAACUUAUUCGUUUUCGAUCAGAACGAUUGCUUCUGAUCCCUUGAUUUGGAAAUCAUAAAAUUUCAUAAAAAUUCUUUGCAUUAAGCUUUGAAUUACUCAGUUGUUUAUGUAAUCCGAUGCCUUGGCAUUCCAUUUUCCUUCUGAUUGAGUAACUCACCUCAGAUUCCUGGUGGUCCGUGAGACCAAUUGCUUGGUUAUUAUCCGAUAGUGUCCUUCAUAUUCAAUAAUCUUCUGAGCCGUCCUCAGACACAAAAUGCCCUCUGCUUUCUCAACCAUGUGCUGCUUUCGAGCUUGUAUGAAUUACUCCUGGAGUUGUGGUAUAUGUUUCUAAGAUGCCCCGAUGGGUUGAACAUAUACCUUCCUUAAUUUUUGUGAAACCAAAAGUCUUCAUGGGUCAUAACCUUCUGGUAUUCCGCCAGUUGAACUUUCAAACUCUAAACAUUCUUAACUGAGAGCAGUAAAUGAGAAGUUGUGUAUUGGAGAAGUGGGAGUCGACCUUGAACCUUGUGUUCAUGCCCAUGGACACGAUGUUGAUCUUAUCAUGGAUGCUUCUCUUAAACCCUAUUCGGUAUAAGUUUAACUUAUAUAUGGGAAUUUGUCUUUUGCAACCGUGGUUCCGACCAUACUUUCUUCUUGAUUCCAUUUCUCGGACAAGUUAGAGUACUUGUCUUCUGCAGAGCAUUACCCAAGUCCAACCUCUACUGUGAUCUGUCAUCGAGUAUUAUCCCCCUGGCAUCUCAAGAUUAUCAUGGAACUGCAUAACUUCUUAUGAGUUAUUCAUCAAGUGCUACCUUCCCACUGAUUCGAAUUUUUCACGGGCUCUGAGUUACUAAACACUCAAAGGCACCGAUAACUGAACCGAGUCCGCACUACGGUUCAACAACUCUUCAGUAAGCUUGUAUAAGUACGAGUUUGUACCCGAUCACGCCAUUCCUAGCCUGUUUGGCUAUAUCAUUGUCGUGAUGAUUCUAACUGUGCUACCUGGUCCUUAUUCUCGGAGCACCAAUUUGCGAUGAUAGCUAAGCUUACAUCGAUUUUCCUCAACAUACCCUUUCACCUUAAACAACAAGCUUGAGUUCGAGUUUGUGUCGUACUCGUGGUUCCAAUAACCUUUCACUUCAACAUUCCUUGACUUGAUGACAUCGCCGAUCAAUUACAUCUUCAUGAAAUCUCUCGACAAAUGCGUCAUGAUCAUCAUCAGCAUUCUGAGCUCUUCUAGGAUAUCAAUUGAAUUCAUGAUGAGAAAUACCCUCCUUGCCCUCGAUGAUUUGUUUUAUCAUCGACCACUUUAUUGCCUUCCGUUCAACACAAACUUGUUCGUGUUUUGUAUUAUACCUUGAGAUCCGUGCUAUCUAGCCUUUGUUCUUCUUUACCUUGGGGUAUUACCAUCUUUUAUGUUAGGAUUGUCUUGAGAAUUUCACCACCUCUUAAGAAUUCUUGGUAUAGUGAUACUUCUCACCAUCACCAUUCUUUCUUGGUCCUCGUGUUGAUUCCAACUGGGGUACCAACAAGUGAACGGUGUUGUUUGGAUUCUGCACUUCUAGCAACCCUAUUGCUUUGAAGUUAAUGGUCAGCCGUUCAUUCUUAGACUAUUGAUUAUUGAAUCACCAUUCUGACAUUGGUCGUGCAACCCAACCCAUAUUUUGGGCGCACCUUUCAACCAAUGUUUAAUUGUGUAUGUUUUCCUCGAGCAUACUUCCUUAUAUCAUUUGAUUGACAAAUGUUAUCUCCUUGUUCACAUAAUUGUGGAAAUCCAUCUUUUGGAAAUCUCGAUGAAUUGCCGUUGAGUUCACCAGACACCUCCUUGUCCUCUCCUUGGGUUAAUGAUGAACUCUUGUUAACGGAAAUCACUUCAUAGUUCAUUUCCCGAGAAUCUUACAUUGUCAUCUCGUCAAUUGUGUUGCACCUUUUCUUCUCAGGCAUACUAAUUCGGAGGUAUCCUGACACCAAUCGGAUCUAAACCUCGGUCAGAUAUGAUGGUUGGAACAUAUUUCCAAGAGUUAUAACAUCGGUCUUUAUAUGACUCGGUAAGGUGAUGUCAUGCCUAGCACACCUGGCCGAAGGGCCUAUUGUUAUAGUUUCUUUUUUUGCAAGGUUAACCAUUCUUCCUUGAGGAAAUUGUAAGACUUAUUCUAUAAGUUGUUCCUGAUGGAUCCUUUUUGUUUCCAAAGUUUGAUCUUCACCUGUUGACCAUGUCAAUGUUAUCUCGAAGCAUGUUUAUGGUAUUCUGAUUUUCAACAGGAACAUUUGAAAACCAAUGCUAAAUGUUUCCUGCUCAAUUAUCCAAACACCGUUGUAUGGGUAAUGUCAUGAACAUCCUCUCCCCUUACCUAAAUGGUUUUCUACGUUAUAUCCUGUCAUGGAUAUCAUGCUCUGUUUGUCCUAGGGAAGGGUAUACCCCAGAAAUAUGUGUUUAAACACAUUUUCCUUUCCAUUGUUCUGUUUAAUCUGAUACAUAUGUUUUCCUUUCCAUUGUUUGGUUUAAUCUUUCUUGUGAUCUAUAUGAUCUAAGCAGUAACAUUCUCCUGCUUUUGUAAGCACCUCGGUGUACAACUCUGUUAGUAAGAACCUGUUACUAUUGUUGAUGACAUUCCGGUAUCCACCAAUGGACGAGAACUUUGCCUAAUGGUCCGCCUCAUUCAACGAGCAGGAAAAGGGUUCUCUUCGUCCCUCGCCCUUGGUACCGACAUUGUUGCCGGCAUACCUGACAAGCUAUCCACUGACAUGCCUCCCUGUCGCGGUAUUGCAAGAUGUCAACACCCUUCGUACUUUUAACCCACAUGGUGGGCCCAUAACCCACAGUUCCACAGGAUCGAAACCUGACUCUCCUGUACACCCCGUGUUCCCAAAGUUAUUCCUCCCGCAUGGACUCGUAUGUAAUUCAUGAGCCACCUCCCGAUGAGAUCAUCAAUUCUGGUAUCAGACAUAAUACUUAUUCUCGUUACUCUGUACCCCUUUCACACCUUGUGUCAGUGAUCGAACAAUUUUCUAGCCGUUUGUAACUUCUUAUUGUACCAUAUUACUUUGCUCUCGACAUGUUUUAUUUGUUCAACUCGAGAGAUACUCAUAUGAUCAUUCGUGGGGUAACCCCCAAUGAUUACCCCUGGUAGCGUUCUAUCGUUGUCAAGCUGCCCCUUACCUAUUCGUAAGUACGUUGGAGAUCCCGAAGAAAGGAUGACGACUUGAUCAUGGUGACUUGAAGUAGAGAAAUGAAGACAGCAACGAAAGGGAUCAACCUCUUCGAAAGGGCAGCCAAGACCGAGAAGACUCGUUAGGUUUUCGCUACCAACACUUUCCCCCCUUACUCCACCACUUAAAUCUCCGGACGAGAUUUCUUGUAGUGGAGGAGAAUUGUGACGCCCGGAUAAUUAAGCUACAGUGAUCCCCGCUAAUGAUGCCACAUCACCCCGGUUACUAUGCAUAAACUCGCGUUAGUUCGAAACCUAGUUCGAAUUUCAAAUUUAAAACUAAGGCAAACUAUAAAAGUUUUCAAACAUUAAAAUUAAAAUGUUCGGAGUGUGCCAAUUAAUGCUUAGGUAUUUGUGGUGAAGAAACCACGCUUUUACUGAAUGCCUAAAU